rnacentral:tRNA from 2 species
AAGGGGGUGGCAGAUCGGCUAUGUGGUUGACUUGAAAUUAAAGUAUGGGGGUUCGAGUCCUCCUCCCCUUG